UACGUAGGGUGCGAGCGUUAAUCGGAAUUACUGGGCGUAAAGCGUGCGCAGGCGGUUUUGUAAGCCAGAUGUGAAAUCCCCGGGCUCAACCUGGGAAUGGCAUUUGGGACUGCAAGGCUGGAGUGCGGCAGAGGAGACUGGAAUUCCUGGUGUAGCAGUGAAAUGCGUAGAUAUCAGGAGGAACACCGGUGGCGAAGGCGGAUCUCUGGGCCGAUACUGACGCUGAGGAGCGAAAGCGUGGGGAGCGAACAGG
rnacentral:rRNA from 1 species